GUGGUAGUCAAGAAGCUCUGUGGCGGUGCAUGACAUAUUUGUCCUCACAAGCCUAGGAGGUAUCUGGAGACACACAUGUUGCUAAAGUAGAAUGCUUAUGAGGAGAAAUGCUGGUCAGAGUCAUGAUCCCAAAGUAUGAGAAGGUUCUGAAGGUUUUCAAUAGUUAUGAAAAGAGAAAAAUAGACCUGAAUGUUUUAGAAAAAUUUACAAAAGAGGUUAAACUUUCUUAGGCCUAAGAUGAUUUUGAGUUAAAAUACAGGCACUUAAAAUAAUAGUAAAAAUAGCUAACAUUUAUUGAAUGAUUACUCUUGUUCUAGAAACUGUUCUUCAUGCUUUGCCUGUACCUUUGUUUUUUCUUCAGAAUAACUCUGUGUACUGAUACUAUACCAAUCUCUAUUUAAAAAACAAGGAAACCAAGGCACAUACAUUUUAAAUAAACAUAUUCAGACUCACCCCAGCAGCAAGUGGGAGAAAUGAGAUUCAAAUAGGCUUCUCUCACUUUAGAGCUUAUAUUCCUAACACAGUGCAAUGCAAUAUUACAAAACAUACUAUUCUAAGAUCCCUUAAAGAAUGAUCCUCAAAGAUGGAAAUCUCAAAUACCUUUUUUUUUCUUAAAUAGCAAGAGAAAAAAAAAAGGCUCAAUCCCGUUGUCUUCCAGUGUUUCUGUACCGUUCCUUUCCUUUGCCCAUCACCACCCCCAACACACAAACAUAUUUUGGAACGUCCCUGGCUCUGCACAUGUCAGUAUACUCAACAAGGACUGAUAGCGACCUACAGUUACUAUCAGUGCCACCCAUCUCUGUGGGCUCUAAAGUUGUAGGAGUUUGCUCAGGCAGUGAAUGAUCAGACAUACGUGAAUAACGAAAGUGUAAGAUUAAAAAGUAGAAGUAAGUACUUUCUUGAUGAACCAGAGUUGUGUAGGGCCAUUUAUGUCCCAGCACACAAGACAACAUGCACAGAGAAGCAGAAAUCCAUUCAUCAUGUUUAUAGGAGAAAGGAAAGUCUAGAAAAAUGCCUAGGUGUGAGGAGUCUUCCCUAGCCAUUAGACAGUCCUAAGCAUGUAUCACAAUAUUUGCUCAAUGGGAAGAUUUGGGGGUGAAUGGUGUCCAGUGUGAUGAGCUAGAUCGGAAAGGAGCCAGAUUGUUUUCUCUUACCAUCUGAAAUACUGAAAUCUUUGAUUUUUACGAAUGUCUUCACAGCUGAAAUGCAUUAUGUAAAUUCAUUCUCUACUUAGUUGAGGAUGCUACCAAAUAAUCUGAGCAGUUGUUAAAACAUCUGGGUCUCUUUAGCAGCACGGAUAAAGCCUGACUUGUUAAGUGCACUUUUUUCCUUCCAGUUUAACUUUAAUUAAUCCUUGCAGGGUCUCUGUGAGGUAGGUCUGUAUCAACCUUGCGACGUGACAGUUGCAAAAAACUCAUAUGCAGAGAUUAAGGAACGCUUGAUCGCCCAGCAUACUGAAAGCCAAACUGGGUUUGGGGAUGCAGAAUUUCUGACUCUCUCUGGACAGUUUUUCCAGGAAUUAGAUUAUAACUAGGAAGGGUUGUUCUUUACUUAAGUUUUUUUUUUAAAAAAAUCUGAUUUAAAUCUGCAUCCAGAAUUUUACCUGGAUGCAUUCCCUCAUUUUCCAUUUUGCAAAAUUGCAGCUCAGCCUAGAGGCAAAAACUUCACCAAGGCAAUCCUAGUGAUCUUUUUGACCUGAAUGGAGACAUGAUUUGAGAUUCCACAAGGAAGCCAAUUUUGUAAGAAUUUCCACUAGUCUGUAGACUGUAAUAAUUGGGUUAUUUGGAUAAGGUUUGGCAAAGCAUCUUGAAGAUUAACUGAAUGAGGUUUCUGGAGGUUUGCCAUUCUGGAGCUAUCCAUUUUGUUCUUUGUUCUACCUCAUUAUAAAAUGGGCUAUUGAAAUUGGUUGGUUUGUUGGUAUGUGAGGUUUUUCUUUUUUUCCCCUUUCUUAUUCUUUACAUCUGAGCCCUUAAUUUGGUUGAAGGCAAGCUCUUCAGUCUAAGUGGAUAACAAAACAUCCCUUUGAGGAGAAGGAAAUAGAUGAUAAAAUCUGCAUGUUACUAAUUUUUUCAAUAGUUUGAAGGAAUUUCUCUCCCAUCCUGUGUGUGUUUUUAAGACCCUGUUAAGUUCAUAGUUCCUUUUUCUUGUUUGAAUAGAAAAAUGAUUCCCUUUAAUCCCCCCUGAGUGUUAAAAAUGUAUUAUUGAACGGCCCAGUUCAGGAAUUUAGUUCCCUCUUACACUGAAUGGAGGUAUGUAUGACCUGAUAGUCAAAGAAUGCUAUUCAGAGACAUUUCCGCCUGUUUGUUUCUUGGAUCAGUUACUGUUCACAUAAAGUCUGGAAAGAAGCCAAAACGUGUAAACAAAUUAAGAAUUUUGAGUAUCCCAGUGGGAAUAUCCGUAAGUUCUACCAAGAAUCAGGAAUUGAAGAUCAGUGCAAUAUGCUUUCAUGGGACAGCCAGGAGAGGCAACUAUAGACCAAAUAUUCUUGGCUUUGGUUUGGGAAUCUUAAUGGAUAUUAAAAGAUUUGGGUUAAUGAUGGAGUUAUGCAUACCACUAGUUUUUCCCAAACGUAUAUAUAUUGCCUAAAUGGAAUUUCAUUUUUCUUUCACUAACUUUUAGUUCCUUAAUAUCAAUAAACUUUCAACUCUGAAGCUCCUGCUUGAUAUUAUUUCAGCAGAUAAAAUAUGUAAUAUGUAAAUUAUUUAUCUUUAUCACUAAUAAUUCGUGAUGCUACACAUCUACAUUAAUCUGUGACUACAGUGAAUGACAGUUUGGUGGACUGGGGAUUUUUCCUCUGGUGUUUUUUUGAUAUAGUCUCUUCUUCCAACUAUCUAUCUCAGCAUAUGAAUUGAAAAUUGUGGUCUCUUUAUUUCCUUUAUUUCCUCCAGAAAUAAAACUUAAAUGUAAAACUUCCCCUUAAUUUUAAUUUCCUUUAAGCUAUUAAAAGUUUUAUCACCA